rnacentral:rRNA from 1 species
GACGAACGCUGGCGGCGUGCUUAACACAUGCAAGUCGAACGGUAAGGCUCCAGCUUGCUGGGGUACACGAGUGGCGAACGGGUGAGUAACACGUGGGUGACCUGCCCUGCACUUCGGGAUAAGCCUGGGAAACUGGGUCUAAUACCGGAUAGGACCGCACCGUGAGGGUGUGGUGGAAAGUUUUUUCGGUGUGGGAUGGGCCCGCGGCCUAUCAGCUUGUUGGUGGGGUAAUGGCCUACCAAGGCGGCGACGGGUAGCCGGCCUGAGAGGGUGGACGGCCACAUUGGGACUGAGACACGGCCCAGACUCCUACGGGAGGCAGCAGUGGGGAAUAUUGCACAAUGGGCGGAAGCCUGAUGCAGCGACGCCGCGUGGGGGAUGACGGCCUUCGGGUUGUAAACUCCUUUCACCAUCGACGAAGGGUUCCUGACGGUAGAUGGAGAAGAAGCACCGGCUAACUACGUG